CCGAAGUGGCAAAAUUUUUCCAUAGGCUUUGACACCGCCGUGUUCUGCCACUAUGCCUAAGUGGCUGCAAGAGCUCAUUUGCCACCUCGGUAUUCCUUUGAAUGGGCCAUUUGGGCGCUUUUGGAGCCAUAUGGGUGCAGUUGCAGUUCAUGCAAAAUCCCCUGGAUGGAGCUCUUGUAUUAGGAAUAGAAUCAUGUCAGAUUUUCCUUUUCAGCUCAGAGGGCUUGCCACCUGGGUAUUCUGACCAGUGCUCCUUCGUGGCAAAUUGGAUUAGCUGGGUGUGCUAAGCGUCUGAGUGCUGGUGGUUCAUGGGUAGUGUGGUCCACGGGUAGUGUGGGGCAUGGGGAGGCCUGCCACUUGGGUAUUCUGACCAGUGUUCCUUCGUGGCAAAGUGGCUUAGCUGUGGGUGCUAAGUGUCUGAGUGCUGGUGGUUCAUGGGUACUACUCUGGAGGUCCAUGGGGGUGGUUCAUCUGUCCUCCAUGCGGGGUUAUGGUGCUCCAUUCCUGGGUACUUGAGCUCCAUGAGUCCCCCUGGUUCUCUGGAGGUCCAUGGGGGUGGUUCAUCUGCCCUCCAUGCGGGCUUUCAGUGCCCUAGCCCUGGGUAAAUGAGCUCAAUGAGUCCCCCUGGUUCUCUGGAGGUCCAUGGGGGUGGUUCAUCUGCCCUCUAUGCGGGCUUUCAGUGCCCUAGGCCUGGGUAAAUGAGCUCCAUGAGUCCCCCUGGUUCUCUGGAGGUCCAAGGGGUCUGUCUCCCAACCUCCAUGCGGGGUUAUGGUGCUCCAUUCCUUGGCAAAGCCCCCCCAGAGCAGGGGGGCAUCAGAGGAGGUUGUGCCUGGCUUCGUUUAUUCUUCCAAGUGUGUGUGAUGACCCGAGCCCACCUUUGGCCCAAUAAAUGCACGGGACCCCCCCUUAAAGCCCCCGUGAAUGUUGGUUCCCAUAUGGCAUCAAUGCAGUUGAAAAUGAUACCCGGAUGGCAAGUCCUGCAGCUCUGCGUCCCAAGCUGGUAUCGAACCAGGCUCUGCCGGGUGGGAGGCAAGCUUCUUAACCAUUGUGCCACGGGAGAGUGAAGUUCGGUCCGCCCAAACGGCACGGUAUUUGUGGUUCGACUGCCCCCCCGGAAAGGCAGAAGGAAAUCUCUGCUGAGAAAAGGCACCGACAAUGCGCCAAUCACUUAACUGCUAUUUGGGCAUACUUCUUUAUGAUACCCAUUUGGCAAGCCCCAUGUUCCCGAAUACCCAGGUGGCAAUCCUCCCAUUGUCCUAAACACCCAUUUGGCAAGCCCAUGUCCACAAAGGCAGCCUUACCAGGGGCACGAGGCUCUGGGCCGUGCGCACUGGUGGGUGUAGUCCGUGUAGGGGUGCUUAAGUGUGGGGUACCCAGGUUCCAACGGUGCUUAAGUCUUGGUCCCCCAAGUGGCAAGCCCCCAUUGACAUAAACACCCAAGUGGCAAGCCCCAUGUUCACGAAUACCCAGGUGGCAAGCCCCAUGUUCACGAAUACCCAGGUGGCAAGCCUCCCAUUGACAUAAACACCCAAGUGGCAAGCCCCAUGUUCACAAAUACCCAGGUGGCAAGCCCCAUGUACUCGAAUACCCAGGUGGCAACCCUCCCAUUGUCAUAAACACCCAAGUGGCAAGCCCCCAUUGACAUAAACACCCAGGUGGCAAGCCCCAUGUUCACGAAUACCCAGGUGGCAAGCCCCCAUAGGCAUAAACACCCAUUUGGCAAGUCCCAUAGAGUGAAAUGUGACAAAGUGUCAGUUGUAUGGAUAAAAAUACCCAAUUGGCAAGCCCCCAUUGAUGGAAUACCCAUGUGGCAAGUUCGGGUCCAAUACCCAAGUGGCAGUUUUCCCCAUUGAGAGAAACACCGAGAUGGCAACGAUGCCAUCUGGUGGCAGAAACACGUUACUACAGCGAAUGUUGCCACGAGGGAGGAAAAACCAUGAUUUUUGUGAAAAGUUUGUCCUCUUUGGGGGUCUCUGACAGGGAGACCGGGGGUCUUAAAAAUCGGUAGGGGGGGUCAUAAGGGUAACGAGGGAUGACCGGAUUUUUAGAGAUUGACCCCGUAACCCUACGACCUAGGGUUAGCCCUCCAGAAUUUUUAGAAAAAGGCCCUUUU